rnacentral:ncRNA from 2 species
UUCGUUCAUCUCGCUUUUUCACAGCCGAUUAAAGCGAGACGGAAGUAGGGGUUAAUAGCCCCCGAAGGAACGCGCC